CCUCGGGGUGCACCAGUGGGGAAUAUUGGGCAAUGGGCGCAAGCCUGACCCAGCAACGCCGCGUGAGGGAAGAAGGUUUUCGGAUUGUAAACCUCUGUCCUUGGGGACGAAGAAGUGACGGUACCCAAGGAGGAAGCUCCGGCUAACUACGUGCCAGCAGCCGCGGUAAUACGUAGGGAGCAAGCGUUGUCCGGAAUUACUGGGCGUAAAGGGUGCGUAGGCGGCAUAUUAAGUCAGGUGUGAAAUACUCGGGCUCAACCCGGGGGCUGCAUUUGAAACUGAUAUGCUUGAGUGUGAGAGAGGAAAGUGGAAUUCCUAGUGUAGCGGUGGAAUGCGUAGAUAUUAGGAGGAACACCAGUGGCGAAGGCGACUUUCUGGCUCAUAACUGACGCUGAGGCACGAAAGCGUGGGGAGCAAACAGGAUUAGAUACCCGGGUAGUC
rnacentral:rRNA from 1 species